AUUGAACGCUGGCGGCAGGCCUAACACAUGCAAGUCGAACGAGUGGCGGAAGGGUGAGUAAUGUCUGUGCCACUGCCUGAUGGAUGGGGAUCACUACUGGAAACGGUAGCUAAUACCGCAUACCAUCGGAUGUGCCCAAAUGGGAUUAGCUUGGUGGUGGGGUAACGGCUCACAAAGGCGACGAUCCCUAACUGGUCUGAGAGGAUGACCAGCCACACUGGAACUGAGACACGGUCCAGACUCCUACGGGAGGCAGCAGUGGGGAAUAUUGCACAAUGGGCGAAAGCCUGAUGCAGCCAUGCCGCGGGUAUGAAGAAGGCCUUCGGGUUGUAAAGUACUUUCAGCGGGGAGGCGUUACCCGCAGAAGAAGCACCGGCUAACUCCGUGCCAGCAGCCGCGGUAAUAC
rnacentral:rRNA from 1 species